rnacentral:rRNA from 1 species
GUGAGGAAUUUUCCGCAAUGGGCGAAAGCCUGACGGAGCAAUGCCGCGUGAAGGAUGAAGGCCUAUGGGUUGUAAACUUCUUUUCUCAGAAAAGAAUUAUGACGGUAUCUGAGGAAUAAGCAUCGGCUAACUCUGUGCCAGCAGCCGCGGUAAGACAGAGGAUGCAAGCGUUAUCCGGGAUGAUUGGGCGUAAAGCGUCUGUAGGUUGUUUAAAAAGUAUUCUGUCAAAGAUUAGGGCUUAACCCUAGAUAGGCAGAAUAAACUUUUAAGCUAGAGUUUGGUAGAGGCAGAGGGAAUUCCCGGUGGAGCGGUGAAAUGCGUAGAUAUCGGGAGGAACACCAAAGGCGAAGGCACUCUGCUGGGCCAAUACUAACACUGAGAGACGAAAGCGAGGGGAGCAAAUGGGAUUAGAAACCCCUGUAGUCC